GGGUGCUUAGCUCAGUUGGUAGAGCAGCGCCCUUACACGACGUAGGUCGGCGGUUCGAGCCCGUCAGCACCCACCA
rnacentral:tRNA from 1 species